GAUGAAUACAGAGAACAAUUUGCCUCCAUGCGUUCUUCCUGAGGGUGGAGACACGGUGUUUAAAUACAAGCUGUUUCUUUGAAAGGCUGAGGUGCUGAUCUCCAGCGGAGAAUGGAGGUGAUGUUCUGUAUACUGUAGUCCACACACAGUGGGACAAAGCAGGAGCAGAUCAGCCAAAUGUAGUCAGGCAAGCAUGCUGGUCCGCUACUAUACAGCUACUUGUUUAACAGGACAGGAAUACAGUGAGACAGUGGUCAACAUGAACAGAAUAGUGUGUGUCUUAUUUGAACAAUAAAAUGCAUUGUGAAUAAUACAUAUAGUGACUUUUAUCACAUUUAAAAAGGAACUACAUGAUUUGUCACAAUUAUUGAUACAGUUGCUAAUUUCCCUAUGAUUAUCAAGGCAUAAGAAUAUAGAUGCAGUCUUAAUGCAUUAAGGGGUUAAUUGGAGGUGUUUUCAAUUGGGUUUUCACAAUGCAUGCAAAACAUGUGGAAGGCGUUUAACCAGAUCUAGUCCCAACAGGCAACAGCUGUGAUAUCUAUCUCUCUAAUAUGAACAGGUAUAUAGUAUAUUGCAUAGUCAAAUAUAUAUGUUGAAUGGCUCGGUGGAAGAUUGGCUGGAGUUGUGGUGUGCCCUUUAAAAAAAAAAAUCUUCAGGGACUUUCAAAUUCAGUCUCCUCGAUGGUGACGUCACCGAUGUUCAGAAUAUUGACAGGCCACCUGUCGGGCGAGCUGCUCUUUAAAGCGGCAGGACUGUAACAACGCUAGACUUCUCUCUCUACACAUGGCAACGAGACGGCCCGUCAUCUUUCUUCCUCAACAGAUAGCAAGAGAGUCAGCGACAAGUAAACAGAGGAACAGAGCAGGUAGACAGAGGGAGAGAAGGGAGUGCUAUAGGUUGGCGCUAAUUCAUGAUGUGCAGUUUAUACCAUCUGAACAUGAUAGUCCUUCUCUGCAAACCAGUGACGCGUGAGGCAUCAGCAAACCAGGGAGGAUUGAAGGAAGAAAUGCACGCUGUGUCUAAGUACUCUGAAGGGAGAUGACACUGCAUCGUGACUCAGAGGGCUAACAUCCAAGCCGACCUUACAGAACGCUACAACAGAAAUGGAGCCACAGCUCAAGGUGAAGAGUUCUGACUUUUGUGGUCCUGGACGCUAUGGAAGACUAGUGAUUUUGUUGUUGUAAAUUCAGCACCCAGACAACAAGUCAUAGUCUACCUCAGUGUCCAGAACUCAUGCAUCAAUGACACCUCAAGCUUUUAGUAGAGACAUAAUCGUAGAACGCUUAGGAAGAGUGGACUCUUAUUUUGAAAUUGUGGGAUGCACUGUAACCUAUUGUAAUUUCCGAUGGCUUAUGUGUGCUUUGACGUUUCAUCAUAAAUUCACUUAAUGUAUGUCUAUUACCAUUAAAGAAAACUCAUCUUGAUUGAGAGGUGUCUUUUAUUCUUCUUUUAACAUAGAAUGGCUUUUGUCAGUUCUGUGUUUAGGCUACAUCUGAUGUUAAAAUGGACACGUUUCGGCCAUAGAGGCUUCAAUCAUCAGAUGCUGGGUCCAUUGUGAGUGUUGAUGAGUGUUGAUAUGGAAUAAAUACUCAUACUUAAUCCUCUUCAUUCCUAUGUGGAACACAAGUUUUCCAUGAGAGAGCACCACUGCUGCUGAUCUCCAGUCUUUUUGGGAAUGUUAUUCCAUGACAGGCCACAGUCCUUCUCCUUCACCACGGUUCUUCUCCAGG
rnacentral:lncRNA from 1 species